UAGUCAUAUGCUUGUCUCAAAGAUUAAGCCAUGUAUGUCUAAGUAUAAGCAAUUAUACCGUGAAACUGCGAAUGGCUCAUUAAAUCAGUUAUCGUUUAUUUGAUAAUACCUUACUACUUGGAUAACCGUGGUAAUUCUAGAGCUAAUACAUGCUGAAAAUCCCGACUUCGGAAGGGAUGUGUUUAUUAGAUAAAAAACCAAUGCCCUUCGGGGCUUUUUGGUGAUUCAUGAUAACUUUACGGAUCGCAUAGCCUUGCGCUGGCGACGGUUCAUUCAAAUUUCUGCCCUAUCAACUUUCGAUGGUAAGGUAUUGGCUUACCAUGGUUUCAACGGGUAACGGGAAAUUAGGGUUCGAUUCCGGAGAGGGAGCCUGAGAAACGGCUACCACAUCCAAGGAAGGCAGCAGGCGCGCAAAUUACCCAAUCCCGACACGGGGAGGUAGUGACAAUAAAUACUGAUACAGGGCUCUUUUGGGUCUUGUAAUUGGAAUGAGUACAAUUUAAACCUCUUAACGGGGAACAAUU
rnacentral:rRNA from 1 species